UACAGAGGUCUCAAGCGUUGUUCGGAUUCAUUGGGCGUAAAGGGUGCGUAGGUGGCGCGGUAAGUCGGGUGUGAAAUUUCGGAGCUUAACUCCGAAACUGCAUUCGAUACUGCCGUGCUUGAGGACUGGAGAGGAGACUGGAAUUUACGGUGUAGCAGUGAAAAUGCGUAGAGAUCGUAAGGAAGACCAGUGGCGAAGGCGGGUCUCUGGACAGUUCCUGACGCUGAGGCACGAAGGCCAGGGGGAGCAAAACGGG
rnacentral:rRNA from 1 species